rnacentral:rRNA from 1 species
UAGGGAAUCUUCCGCAAUGGACGCAAGUCUGACGGAGCAACGCCGCGUGAGUGAAGAAGGAUUUCGGUUCGUAAAACUCUGUUGUUGGAGAAGAACAGCGCAUAGAGUAACUGUUAUGCGUGUGACGGUAUCUAACCAGAAAGCCACGGCUAACUACGUGCCAGCAGCCGCGGUAAUACGUAGGUGGCAAGCGUUGUCCGGAUUUAUUGGGCGUAAAGCGAGCGCAGGCGGUCAAUUAAGUCUGAUGUGAAAGCCCCCGGCUCAACCGGGGAGGGUCAUUGGAAACUGGUUGACUUGAGUGCAGAAGAGGAGAGUGGAAUUCCAUGUGUAGCGGUGAAAUGCGUAGAUAUAUGGAGGAACACCAGUGGCGAAGGCGACUCUCUGGUCUGUAACUGACGCUGAGGCUCGAAAGCGUGGGUAGCAAACAGG